CAAAUAUUGGCGGCGUAAUGACGCUUGUUCUCCAAGUCCUGGUUUUCAAGAGAGUCAAAUGGCGUGCAAUGCAGUAUUGUAGGAUACCAAAUAUAAAAUAAUAAGGACUUAAGUCAGACUGUUGAUGUACGAGAAAUAAACACCAAGAUGCCAGUGGAGCCUUGGUCUAGCAGUGAGAGUGUUUGCAGUCGGAACGACGGAUCCCGAGUUCAAACUCACCCAAGCUUCUUUAUUUUUCCAAGUAUCUUACAGAAAAUCUACAUCGGAGCAAAAGGCAUAUGAAGCAGUAAAAGCGGUAUCUUGCAGAUCAACGAUAGAUAAUAGGAUAUACAGCCACUCACAUACAGGACAUAUGAGCACUCAUGUAUGAGAUAUAGGACACGCAGGUACAAGUCCUGUUUUCCAAUCACAGCGUUUGUGACGUUAAUCCUGUGUAAUAAAAGUGUCAUAUAUUCAGAGAAGAUUUCUGACGAAAAUAAAGCAUAAAGCAAGCUUAAAGAGAAUGGAACAUCGGAUCGUAAGAAGCUUGUAAACGCUUGUAUUAUAUUUAUAAUAUAUAGCACUUCAAACAAUUUUCUAUAUUGUCUGAUAUGCACAAGCCAUCAAACCGAAUAAAAAAUACAAGAGAUAAG
rnacentral:lncRNA from 13 species